GUGCCAGCCGCCGCGGUAAUACGUAGGGUGCGAGCGUUAAUCGGAAUUACUGGGCGUAAAGCGUGCGCAGGCGGUAAGUUAAGUCUGAUGUGAAAGCCCCGGGCUCAACCUGGGAAUGGCAUUGGAAACUGGCUUGCUAGAGUGUGGCAGAGGGGGGUGGAAUUCCGCGUGUAGCAGUGAAAUGCGUAGAGAUGCGGAGGAACACCGAUGGCGAAGGCAGCCCCCUGGGCCAACACUGACGCUCAGGCACGAAAGCGUGGGGAGCAAACAGGAUUAGAAACCCCUGUAGUCC
rnacentral:rRNA from 1 species